rnacentral:rRNA from 1 species
UGGGGAAUAUUGGACAAUGGGCGCAAGCCUGAUCCAGCCAUGCCGCGUGAGUGAUGAAGGCCCUAGGGAUGUAAAGCUCUUUCACCGGUGAAUAUAAUGACGGUAACCGGAGAAGAAGCCCCGGCUAACUUCGUGCCAGCAGCCGCGGUAAUACGAAGGGGGCUAGCGUUGUUCGGAUUUACUGGGCGUAAAGCGCACGUAGGCGGACUUUUAAGUCAGGGGUGAAAUCCCGGGGCUCAACCCCGGAACUGCCUUUGAUACUGGAAGUCUUGAGUAUGGUAGAGGUGAGUGGAAUUCCGAGUGUAGAGGUGAAAUUCGUAGAUAUUCGGAGGAACACCAGUGGCGGAAGCGGCUCACUGGACCAUUACUGACGCUGAGGUGCGAAAGCGUGGGGAGCAAACAGG